rnacentral:rRNA from 1 species
GACGAACGCUGGCGGCGUGCUUAACACAUGCAAGUCGAACGGUAAGGCCCUUCGGGGUACACGAGUGGCGAACGGGUGAGUAACACGUGGGUGAUCUGCCCUGCACUUCGGGAUAAGCCUGGGCAACUGGGUCUAAUACCGGAUAGGACCACUGCCUGCAUGGGUGGUGGGGGCAAGCUUUUGCGGUUUGGGAUGGGCCCGCGGUCUGUCAGCUUGUUGGUGGGGGGAUGGCCUACCAAGGCGACGACGGGUAGCCGGCCUGAGAGGGUGACCGGCCACACUGGGACUGAGAUACGGCCCAGACUCCUACGGGAGGCAGCAGUGGGGAAUAGUGCACAAUGGGCGCAAGCCUGAUGCAGCGACGCCGCGUGAGGGAUGACGGCCUUCGGGUUGUAAACCUCUUUCAGCACCGACGAAGCGCAAGUGACGGUAGGUGCAGAAGAAGGACCGGCCAACUACGUGCCAGCAGCCGCCGCGG